rnacentral:rRNA from 1 species
UACGUAGGGUGCAAGCGUUAAUCGGAAUUACUGGGCGUAAAGCGUGCGCAGGCGGUGAUGUAAGACAGAUGUGAAAUCCCCGGGCUCAACCUGGGGAACUGCAUUUGUGACUGGCGGGCUAGAGUAUGGCAGAGGGGGGGUAGAAUUCCACGUGUAGCAGUGAAAUGCGUAGAGAUGUGGAGGAAUACCGAUGGCGAAGGCAGCCCCCUGGGCCAAUACUGACGCUCAUGCACGAAAGCGUGGGGAGCA